UACGAAGGGGGCUAGCGUUAAUCGGAAUUACUGGGCGUAAAGCGUGCGCAGGCGGUGAUGUAAGACAGGCGUGAAAUCCCCGGGCUUAACCUGGGAACUGCAUUUGUGACUGCAUCGCUGGAGUGCGGCAGAGGGGGAUGGAAUUCCGCGUGUAGCAGUGAAAUGCGUAGAUAUGCGGAGGAACACCGAUGGCGAAGGCAAUCCCCUGGGCCUGCACUGACGCUCAUGCACGAAAGCGUGGGGAGCAAACAGG
rnacentral:rRNA from 1 species